rfam:Zea mays cultivar B73 chromosome 1, whole genome shotgun sequence.
AUAACUUUCUCAGGCUUUUAGUUAAGAUAAAAUAUAGUAUCUGCUCUUAUCAAUUUAGUAUCCGAUAUGUGGACCAUAUGUUCGCUUUGAUAUUAAAUUUAUUUUUUUACGAGUAUCAAAUAUGAUUGUAUGCUGUCACGGCGUGCGAGCAUUGUUAAUAGUGAGAUCCACACUAUUAUUGCAUGCUAAGCUCG